GAAAGUUAUCCGCUCUAACCACGAAAUUGAUUGGGAGAAAAGGAAGCCCUUGAUCUUAGGAUCAUCUAGGGAGCUCCUGAUCAUUGAUCAGAUGAUCAUUGAUCAGAUGAACCACCGAUGAGAAAUUUUAGAGAGAAGGAGAAAAGGUAAAGAAUAAUGUAUUUAGAGAAAUAGAACGUACUGAUAUAAUGAGCUGAGUGUUUUAAAUUUUUAUUUGUACUUUUAGCUUAUUUUAAUCUUAAGUGUUCAGUUC
rnacentral:lncRNA from 1 species